UACGUAGGGGGCUAGCGUUGUCCGGAAUCAUUGGGCGUAAAGCGCGCGUAGGCGGCCCGGUAAGUCCGCUGUAAAAGUCAAAGGCUCAACCUUUGAAUGUCAGUGGAUACUGCCAGGCUAGAGUCCGGAGGAGGCGAGUGGAACUCCUGGUGUAGCGGUGGAAUGCGCAGAUAUCAGGAAGAACACCGACGGCGAAGGCAGCUCGCUGGGACGGUACUGACGCUGAGGCGCGAAAGCGUGGGGAGCGAACAGG
rnacentral:rRNA from 1 species